rnacentral:tRNA from 1 species
UGGGAUGUAACUCAGUGAUAGAGUGCUUGCCUGGGAUGCAGGAGGUUUUGAGUUCAAUCCCCAGCAUGCCAA